ACAAUCAACAGGCAGAAAACAAGAUAGAAGUUUCCUCAGUCCCCAGAUCGACAAUCGACAGCUGAGAGACUAUUUUUUGCUAUGGUUGACUAAAUAUGGUCAGGGAAGAGAGAGGCACUAGAGAGCCGCUUGCCUGGGAGUGCAUGUUUCAAAUGCUUAGCUGCCUAUAAAGCUCUAACAGCCUAGGCUGUGGUUAUAAGCUGACCUCUGUGGUGACUAUGUGAAGUCCUGACCUCGAUUGCAGAUUGACCUUUGGAUAUGACAAGACAGCUUUACUCCAGAUCUACCAUUAACCCUGGAAAUUCAAACUCCCAUUCCCCCAAAAGAAUCUCAAAGCAAGAAAGAUGCAGGAUAUUUCCUGAGACGUCAGAAGAACCCAAUGUACUCUGGUGGCCACAGGAAACAGGGUGAAUAGCUACUUGGGAAAGCAAGGUGUGCUGGGGGUUUUGUUUGCAGCUUUGUUUUUUGUUGUUGUUGCUGCUGCUGCUGCUGUUGUUGUUUUUAAUCAAUCUUUAACUUCCUCUGCAAUUCCCCCUCUUGUGAACCAUUUCAUCUAACUUAAAAAAAAAACUAGGUACAUUUUCUUGGCCAUUGUAGCAACUUUCCCCCAUUACUUCACUUUCUCUACCUAUCUAUGCAAUAAUUGAUAUAUUACAAUCCAAAUCGUAUGACCAACGUUGAUUGAAUUCUAGUGUGUGUGUAUGUGUAUGCAUGCCCAAAUAAAUGUGUCUAUGUGUGUGUUGAGGAAAGGCAGGAGAGGAAAGUAGAUUAUCUGAUUUUUUAUUUAUUUAACUUGUCUUUUAAAUUUAUCUUAAAAAGUAAGGUUCUGUGCUCACUUAUACACCUCCUUACUUCACCCAGCUCAUAAAAGCAGUGCUGAAUUAGCAGAUAAUGUGAGGGAACAACCAAGGAAUCGGCGGUGACUACGGCAUGACUCUCUAGUCAUUACCUCUCUUCCUCCUACACAUGCUGCAGGACACUAAGCUCACAGGAUCUUGAAGUAAAUUAUAGAGAAGAAAAGGGACCUGUGACGGGGAGAACAACUCCACUGACUUUCUGCAGCUCCUGAAAAAGAACCAAGGAGGCACCCAGUGCUUAUGUACACCAAGAACAAAGAACACUAAGUGCAUAAUGGGAUCAGGUAAAUUUGUUGUAACACUCAGUCUCUGAUAAGCUAAUCUCUGCACAUGAUCUCUCACUGUUCCAUAUCAGUAACCAGAAUGUUUCACUAUCAAAUGGGGGAAAUGGGAUGCUUCAAGUUUCCACAGCAAACAGCUCAGUAGUGCCUACUCAGAGCACAUACUUCUUUAUGUACCCAUAUGAACAUACACUGCUAUGGAAUGUAAAGAAGUAUGUAUUUUGGGUAGGUAAUGGCCACCAAAAGGGAGCAAUUCUUUCCAGGAGGAUAACCUUCAUACAAUGAAUUAACCUACCGACAAGUAAACGGCCACCAAAGAUACUAACAUCCCCAUUCCAAAAGUACCAGUCAUUUGCAAGUGCAAAUUAAUUUACUUAAAGGAAAAAUUCCAUAGAAAUUGAUUUUAAUUUUUGCUUUAAUUCUACAUUCUAGAUUGUUUGAUUACUCAUGUGAUUAAAAUUUGACUACUACAGAAUAGCACUGAUAGCACAAAACAGUGAGACACAGAUCAACCAUUUUCUGUCCUCACGAUUUGAACUUUAAGUACAUCACAUUACUCAAAUUGGGACCAACAGAUCUAAUAAGAAAAAUAAGGCAACAAAAAUCACAUCAAAUUUGUGAUUUAUUCCCAUUUUAAUAGCUAUUCUUCACCUGUGGUAAAAUGUACCACCUAUUAAAGCCUGAGGAUUUUCUAAGGCAAAUUUUUCAGUUUUACAUCUUCUUUUCUGACACUAUAAAAAAAAAAAAACAACGUAAUUUUAUACUGUACAAAUGAACUCUUUGGCCCUUGCCUCUAGUUUAUCAGUUCUUAACUCAAUCUCCAAUUUAAAUGCCAUUACUACGUAAAGCAUGAGAGAAGGAUAAAAAUGGCAAAAUGCUAAGUAAAAAGGAUGUAUUGGUAACAAACUGUCAAAUAUUUUAAAGUCUGUAUUAUCCUUGCUUACAUCAAAGGGUAUUAUUCUGCCCAUAAUGAAUUAUGAACAACAGUAUUUUAGUUAUUCCACGGGUAUGAAAAAUUAUAGUAAUUCUUUAAAAAAAAUAUUUCAGCAACUAGGAAUUUGUCACAAUUCUUAGAAAAUGCUGGCUAUUCAUUUAUAAAGUAAAAUUGAAAACUGAUUCUGUUGCUUCUAAGUUUAGCUAACAUAUCUAGGAGGGUUUUCAAUCACUCUGAAAUGUCACAUCCAGCACUUAGAUCAGGUAUUCCUUUUGAACAGAGUACAUGUUAGACUCUGGGCAUCUGCUGACACUGCUGUAACCCAAACAUUUCAACUGUCUCCCUGGCAGAGAUGACAGAUGCUGACAUUAUCAAACGCUGUACUAUUUUUUCCCAUGGCCUCUCCUUGCCCUGAUAUGGCCAGUACAUGAAACUGAACUAUCCAAAAGAACACUUGAACAACUGGAUCUGCUGAAUGGCUGCCAUGUAACUACUAAAAAUAGAAGCAGGCAAGUGCUAUCUUCAGCACUUAAGUUCAGGCAACUGCAUAUCUGUUUCACUAUUAGGAAAUAUAAUGGAAAGAAUUAAAAUUACAUUAAUUUCAGAAGCAGAAUACAAUAUACAACUAUUUGCAUAUUGUCUGAGCCUGUGUCACCCUUCUCCCAGGUUAGUUUAAGAUAAUAAAUUAAUGUGGUUCUUCACUCAGCACUCUUAUUUUACAAACUUUUAUCAGACUUUUAUCUUAUGAGUAUGUUUCAGAAGUCAUUCUCCUCAGACAGGAAAUCUACAGAAGAGACACAUUAUAAAAUGUACCUAAGUGCUGCUUUUAAAAGUAUCAUGUAAAUUUUAAUACUCAAAAUUCACGGGUUAUAGCUAACUACCACAUGUCAAUGUGUCACUGAUCUUAUAAUAAGAACUAAGCAAUCUAUACUCGAAAUAACACAGAAUUUAGUUAAGAAAACAGAUCUUUAAAGAGUUUAAAUUACAACCCCAAAGUUAGUAUGUCAACAUAAGCAAAAACAAAGCAUGGCACUGAAGACAUGUGUGACCUAUCUAUAAACUAAAGGACAAAGGUAUUUUCUUAAGGUCACUCAUAUCCCUCCACUCCUGUCAGCAACCUACUUAGUCCUCAACUAUCACACUAAAAUAACAGUGUAGAACUAUGCAGUUAGCAUGACUCUUCCUCAACUUCUAGUUUAAUUACUUAAAACUGAGCUUGCAGGCUGGAUGUGAUGGCACACAACUUUAACCCCAGUACUCAGGAGGCAGAAGCAGGUAGAUCUUUAUUUGAGACCAGCCUGGUCUACAUAAUGCAUUUCAGGACAGCCAGGGCUGCACAGAGACACUCUUUGUAUAAAAUUUUAAAAAAAGGAAGGAAGUAAGGAAAGAAAGAAAAGAAAAAAGGAGGAAAGAAAAGAGAAAGGAAAAAUGAGCCUGCUGAGAGAGACUGGAAACAUCACUUUGAAAUAUAUUAUGAUGCUUGUUUUUUAUAAGUGUUCCUGAUUUUGAAAGAGAAUAUUAUGUGCAUUUAAGAAUUAAGUAAAGAUUCACAUUAAUGUGCUAAAGGGAGAAAACUUCUAAGGCGCAAAAGUAGCAAGCAGUAGGACAUGCAUGCACCUACAAGUAGGACUUUCACUUUUAGCGACUGGCAUACCAGUAUGGGAAUUUCUAACAACUGUCAUCUGUGUUUCUACAAAAGAGCAUGGAACCGGUUUGGAUCCUAAAGUAGCAGCAGCAAUGCUUUGCUAAAGCUGGUAAAAUGGAACCAAAUCGCCUCUUCAAUGGAUUUGGUCCCCUUCAACCAGCUGUAGCUAUGCAUUGAUCACCACAGCACAGCUAGCAUUUCAUGAGAAUAUGGAUUACAUGGCAAAUAGUUUUGCUUAUUGAAUCUAUUAACUGUAAUUAAAAUUAAAUAACUAGCAACUGUUAAUUUUAUUUGGGAGAACUACAGUGAUUAAAGAUGUUUAUCAAAAAGCUUUAUGGAAAAAAUGUGUGAUAAAAAAGAUUUCAAAUAAAGUUAUUUAAUUUGUGGUC